GGGCCCAUAGCUUAGCUGGAUAGAGCGUUGGCCUUCGGAGCCAAUGGCAUGGGUUCGAAUCCCAUUGGGCCCA
rnacentral:tRNA from 1 species